rnacentral:rRNA from 1 species
CCUAACACAUGCAAGUCGAACGGUAACAGGAAGAAGCUUGCUUCUUUGCUGACGAGUGGCGGACGGGUGAGUAAUGUCUGGGAAACUGCCUGAUGGAGGGGGAUAACUACUGGAAACGGUAGCUAAUACCGCAUAACGUCGCAAGACCAAAGAGGGGGACCUUCGGGCCUCUUGCCAUCGGAUGUGCCCAGAUGGGAUUAGCUAGUAGGUGGGGUAACGGCUCACCUAGGCGACGAUCCCUAGCUGGUCUGAGAGGAUGACCAGCCACACUGGAACUGAGACACGGUCCAGACUCCUACGGGAGGCAGCAGUGGGGAAUAUUGCACAAUGGGCGCAAGCCUGAUGCAGCCAUGCCGCGUGUAUGAAGAAGGCCUUCGGGUUGUAAAGUACUUUCAGCGGGGAGGAAGGGAGUAAAGUUAAUACCUUUGCUCAUUGACGUUACCCGCAGAAGAAGCACCGGCUAACUCCGUGCCAGCAGCCGCGGUAAUACGGAGGGUGCAAGCGUUAAUCGGAAUUACUGGGCGUAAAGCGCACGCAGGCGGUUUGUUAAGUCAGAUGUGAAAUCCCCGGGCUCAACCUGGGAACUGCAUCUGAUACUGGCAAGCUUGAGUCUCGUAGAGGGGGGUAGAAUUCCAGGUGUAGCGGUGAAAUGCGUAGAGAUCUGGAGGAAUACCGGUGGCGAAGGCGGCCCCCUGGACGAAGACUGACGCUCAGGUGCGAAAGCGU